rnacentral:lncRNA from 1 species
CCACAGCCUCCAGGUCGAAGCACUUGAUACAUAUAGCACUUGAUAAAAAGCAAUACAUGAAGUCGAAGUCAACAUUCCAGUUAUCAACUCCAAUCACAGGUGCUCAGCGCCCUCUCGCUGUUCGUCAAAUAUAUGCACGCGAUAGCGACACUUGCCCCGCAGAUAUACAGCGACCCCGGCUCGCGUCUGAGGAUUUGCCCCUACCUAUUUGCAUAUUUGCCCUCCGGGUUCCAUCAAUCAGCGCAACCACAUCAUCAAUCAUCACCGCCGCCGUCGGCUGCCGCCAGCUCCCUUGCUCGCCGGCUUCGCGCCCGCCCCCGCCGCGUCGCCGCCGCCUCCUGCCGGCGCUGGCGGCCCGCCCGUCACCCCCUCCAGCUGGUCGUCCAUCUCGCU